CAACACCUAGGGGAGGGAACCUUACAGAAAAAAAAUAAGGAUUCCUAUCCCCAUUAGACAUACAUAAAUAUAAUGUUCUAUUUCAAAUUUCAUCAAUAAGCCGUCUAGAACACAAUAUGAUAACAAUAAUAUCCCAUAGAAUGGAUAUCGUGGUCCAAAAACGGCCUAAAAAAGCCUUAUAAAUAAAAUAGACAAAAACAAAGACAAAACUGGUCAUAUGUAUUGCAGAUCCGAUACCACACUUAGAUAGAACAAUAUAAGGCCAAGGAGACCAGUAAUAGAACCCAUUAUGAAAACAUCAGACUAACC